AACGUACGCUGGCGGCACGCCUAACACAUGCAAGUCGAACGAAGUAGCAAUACUUAGUGGCAGACGGGUGAGUAACAUGUAGGUAUCUACCCUUUGGCCUGGAAUAACACGAGGAAACUUGUGCUAAUACCGGAUAAGUCUUUACGGAGAAAGCUUUAUGCACCAUUGGAUGAGCCUGCACUUGAUUAGUUUGUUGGUAGGGUAAUGGCCUACCAAGACUAUGAUCAAUAGCUGAUUUGAGAGGAUGAUCAGCCACAUUGGGACUGAGACACGGCCCAAACUCCUACGGGAGGCAGCAGUGGGGAAUCUUGCACAAUGGAGGAAACUCUGAUGCAGCGAUGCCGCGUGAGUGAAGAAGGCCCUUGGGUUGUAAAGCUCUUUCGUCGGGGAAGAAAAUGACUGUACCCGAAUAAGAAGGUCCGGCUAACUUCGUGCCAGCAGCCGCGGUAAUACGAAGGGACCUAGCGUAGUUCGGAAUUACUGGGCUUAAAGAGUUCGUAGGUGGUUGAAAAAGUUGGUGGUGAAAUCCCAGAGCUUAACUCUGGAACUGCCAUCAAAACUUUUCAGCUAGAGUGUGAUAGAGGAAAGCAGAAUUUCUAGUGUAGAGGUGAAAUUCGUAGAUAUUAGAAAGAAUACCAAUUGCGAAGGCAGCUUUCUGGAUCAUUACUGACACUGAGGAACGAAAGCAUGGGUAGCGAAGAGGAUUAGAUACCCUCGUAGUCCAUGCCGUAAACGAUGUGUGUUAGACGUUGGAAAUUUAUUUUCAGUGUCGCAGCGAAAGCGAUAAACACACCGCCUGGGGAGUACGACCGCAAGGUUAAAACUCAAAAUGAAUUGACGGGGACCCGCACAAGUAGUGGAGCAUGUGGUUUAAUUCGAAGAUACGCGCAGAACCUUACCAACACUUGACAUGUUCGUCGCGACUCUAAGAGAUUAGAGUUUUCGGUUCGGCCGGACGAAACACAGGUGCUGCAUGGCUGUCGUCAGCUCGUGUCGUGAGAUGUUGGGUUAAGUCCCGCAACGAGCGCAACCCUCACUUUUAGUUGCCAUCAUUAAGUUGGGCACUCUGAAAGAACUGCCAGUGAUAAGCUGGAGGAAGGUGGGGAUGACGUCAAGUCCUCAUGGCCCUUACGUGUUGGGCUACACACGUGCUACAAUGGUAUCUACAACAGGAAGCGAAAACGGCAACGUUAAGCAAAUCCCGAAAAGAUACCUCAGUUCGGAUUGCACUCUGCAACUCGAGUGCGUGAAGCUGGAAUUACUAGUAAUCGUGGAAUCAGCGUGCCACGGUGAAAUGCGUUCCCGGGUCU
rnacentral:rRNA from 1 species